UACGGGGGGGGCAAGCGUUGUUCGGAAUUACUGGGCGUAAAGGGCGCGUAGGCGGGAUGGCAAGUCGGUCGUGAAAUCCUUCGGCUCAACCGAAGAACGUCGAUCGAUACUGCUGUUCUUGAGGGUUGCAGAGGAGACUGGAAUUCCCGGUGUAGCGGUGAAAUGUGUAGAGAUCGGGAGGAACACCGGUGGCGAAGGCGGGUCUCUGGGCAAUUCCUGACGCUGAGGCGCGAAAGCGUGGGGAGCAAACAGG
rnacentral:rRNA from 1 species